rnacentral:rRNA from 1 species
CCCUUAGAUGUUCUGGGCAGCACGCGCGCUACAAUGGUCUUCGCAAACGGAUGCGUUCUCGAAGGAGAAUGCCAAUCUUGGAAUCUAUGCCUUGGUCGGGACAGUUGCUUGCAAUUUUUCGACUCGAACCAGGAAUUCCUUGUAAUCGUGAUUCAUCACAUCACGAUGAAUACGUCCCUGCCCUUUGUACACACCGCCCGUCGCUCCUACCGAUCGAAGAGUUAGGUGAAUUGUUUUGAUCGAUAAGAUUUGACUAUGGUCAACUCUCGUUGUGAAAUUCUGUGAAUCUGACUGUUUAGAGGAAGGAAAAGUCGUAACA